AUUGCGUAAGAUCGAGUUUGUAAUGUUAAAUGAAGAGGUAAUGGGUAAUAAACCAGUAAAGGUAUCACGUUAAACGCCUAAUUUAACUAUCAAAAUCGGUCAGCUAUUUCUAUAGUACCUACUUACCUAUACCUCGAAAAGAUUAAAAUUAUUUCAAAAUCACGAAGAUAAAUAUAUAAUAGGCGAAGUUGGCCUAUAUAUAAAAUUGGAAAAUUUUUACGAUUGUUGAACAAUUACGGUUUCAUCUCUUUUUCGAGUGUCGUGUCGUGAUUAAUCGAACAGUUGUUGACCAGUAAAAAAUAAAUCUGUGCGAGAAAAUUGGAUACCUACCCAACCAGAGAACUUGAAUACGUAUUUGACUUUGCUGCCAAAUCGUCAAAUUACUCGAACGUUCUAUUCCAUUUUUCUGAAAUCGUCGCAGUUUUUAAACAUGAACUUCAACCUGCUGUUAAUAUUCGCCAUUGGAGUUGUUUUACUGUUCGCUUCUUCUCAGGCAGACCUGGCGGAACUUGAGAAACUUGAGAAACAGGCGGAAAUUGAGGACCAGAAGAAAACUCCGAAACCUCAGAGAAUGCCUUUCAAGUUGUUUACCAGAAAAAUCGAUUGUUUGAGAGCUUGCGUGAAUUAUUGCGAUUUUCUAGGAAUUCGUCAAUAUCAUUGUCCAUACACGGAUUGUACAGGAUAUCAAUGUAAGUGCAGAGUUCCAAGGUCCGAAUGAUUUUACCGAAUGUGAUUUAAAUUAUUAUUUAUGUAGGUACCUAAUAGUUUUUCGUUUUUUUUGUUUUUUUUUUUUUUGUAGCAGGAAUAAGUAAGGUACCUACCUAUUUAGAAAAAUGAGUUUUUUUAUGCAUUUAUAUUCUUAUCCAUGUUUGACAAAUAAAUUACAAUUUUUUCCUCUA